CGGAGAUUCCGGCAGGGCAGACUGCCUCCCGCGGCAUGCCGGGAGCUGUAGUCCUGGGGCACGGAGCUUCCGGUCGGCCAUGGUGCCUCCCGGGGCAUGCCGGGAGACGUAGUCUUCGGGCGCCGGGCGGCCGGGCUGUGUUUGCCAGUGCAUGCCGGGAGCUGUAGUUUUCGCGGACUCGGCUGCCGGGCAGCAGCGUUGCUCUCCGGCGCGUACGGCGCGGCGCGAGGUGUAGUUUUGUUGCCGGUUUCGUGUGGUUUUUUGCGGGCUUCCUGCUCCGCCCGCUCCCCGACUAGUGUCCGAAGCGCGGUCCUGCGCGUGGGGCGCCGCGCAUGCGCGGAGGUGCCGCUGCGGUCCACGCUGCUGUCCUCUGGUAGCGGCAAUGCGAUGCCGCAGUGCCCGCGGGCUGGUGCCGCCGCGCUCGCUGCUGCCUCCCGAGGCCACGCUGUGGGUGCAGUUGUCCGUUCGUCCCCUGGGGAUGCCGUUGACUGCAGCAGCCUCAGGCUUGUGUGGGCUGUCUCUGCCAGGCCUCCCUCUCCUCGCAGCGUGGGAGCAAAAAGGGGCAGGCGGAACACUUACUGGCUGUGGACAGGAGCUGCUGAAGCUGGAGAGGCGACAGAAUGGUAAAGCUGCUGAAGAAUAAAAUAACGAGGAUCCGGCCAGCAGCUGCAGACAGGAGAUAGCCUGCCUCUCCAGGUGAGGAUGGAUCCUUCUUAGUGUAGUCCUUAGCAGAUCCGAUCACCAACGUGCACAGCAGGGUCUGUGGAUGACAGUAAAGUGACUGCAGCUACAGAGGAGGAAGGGAGAGGGAGAGAGAGACAGACAUGUCUGAACUGUCAAAUUCUCCCAGCAGCUCCAAGAGCGGGAGGUACAGUGAGUCCUGGACCCCUGGGGCUGUGUCACCCCUCUUCUGCAGCCCAGUCCCUCCCUGCCCCCACCUUCUCUUUCUCUCACUGCUUUAAUUUUUUUGUUUUUUCUUCUUGCACCUGUCCCUCUCUUGUUCUCUAAGUCCCCCUCUUUCUCUGUUGUUUUGCCUCUCUGUUUUCUUCUUCUCUCUGCACUUCUGUCCUGUCCCAUCCCUCUUUUUUCUUAUCCUGUCUCUGGCCUGCAGCCCAUCACUACUUUGUCUUUCUCCAUCUACCUGUCUGUCUUCUCAUCCCAAUCUUGUUAAUUCCUCCCUGUCUGCCCUGUAGCCCUUCACAAUUCCCGCUGCUCUCACCUGUCUGACGCUGUGUCUCUAUUUUUAAAUUCCUUUCUCUGCCCUGUAUUCUAGAUACACUUUUACUUUCUUAGAUUCUCUUGUUCCAGGUCCCUGUCUCUGUGUUUUAACUUCUUCCCUCACUGUCCCAUAGCCCAUUUUUGUCUUUAUCAUUCUCUCUCUCUCUGGCUCCCUGUCCCUAUUCUUUAUUUCCCCUCUCUCUCCCCUUUAGAUCACCUCACUGUCCCCUUUUUAAAUUCUUCCUUCUGCCCUGUGGCUCAUCACUAAUCUUUGUUUUUCUCCAUCUCUCUGUCUGGUACCCUAUCCCUUUUUAUUAGUUCUUCUUCUCUGUCCUGUAGCCCACUGCUAUUUCCCCCCCUGCCCCGCCUCUCUCUGUCUUCCUUUCCCUACUUUUCAAUCCCCCCUCUCUGCCCUGUAGCCGAUCACUGUUGUAGUGAGUUUGUGUGGCAAGCUGGGGCAGGGGAGUGGGCAGGGGCUGCAGGGGUGGGUUCUGUGAGAAGACACCAGGACUUGCCCCCAUGUUGGGCACAGCUAUUUCCAGCUCCAAGAUGGAGCUGCUGCUGGUCAAAGCUGAGCCAACCAGCAACGCUGGUAGCACCUCUGUGAUAUUUAAGAAGGGCUAAAAAAAUGCUGUGCAGAAGCUGUCAGUCCUGCAGAUGCUAAGGUCAGUGAAGAAGGAAAAGGAGGAGGUGAUCCAGGUCCUAAAGCAGAUUCCCCUGCAGCCUGCAGUGAAGACCAUGGUGACACAGGCUGUCCCCCUGCAACCCAUGGAGGUCCAUGGCGGAGCAGAUAUGCACCCUGCAGCCAAUGGAGGACCCCUCGCCAGAGCAGGCAGAUGCACCCGAAGGAGGCUUUGACGCUGUGGAGAGGAGCCCAUGCUGGAGCAGGUUUUCUGGCAGGACCUGCGGCCCCAUGGGAGUGACACCACGCUGGAACAGAAGAAGAGCAUGAAGGAAGAAGGAGCAGCAGAGACAACUUGUGAUGAACUGACUGCAACCCCCCCGCUCCCUCUCCCCCUGUGCUGCUCGGCAGGAGGAUGUAGAGAAAGAAUUCAGCAGUGAAGAUGAGCCCAGGAAAAAAAGAGAGGGGUGGGGGGAAGGUGUUUUUUAGGUUUGUUCGUAUUUCUCGUUAUUGUACUCUGAUUUUGACUGACGAUAAAUUAAUUUCCCCAAGUCGAGUCUGUUUUGCCUGUGACAGUAAUUGGUGAGUGAUCUCUUUGUCCUUAUCUUGACCCACAAGCUUUUUUGUUGUAUUUUCUACCCUCCUGUCUUGUUGAGGAGGGGGAAUGAUAGAGUAGCUUGGUGGACACUCAUCAGCCAGCCAAGGUCAACCCACCACAGCUUCCUUCUAUCAGGCUCCCUGUCCCUAUUUUUAAAAUCUUCCCUAUGUUUCUUGUAUGUCAUCACUUUUGAAACUUCCUACCUCUCCAUCCCUAUUUAAAUUCUUGCAUGUUUCUUAAACCCAGUGGCUUUUUAAAUUUUCUUGCUACUUUUCCCUCUCUGUCUCCCUGACCUUAUUUUAGUUUCUCAUCUGUGUUUCUUGUACCCUGUUGCUUUUCAAAUUUCGUUCUUACGUCUCCCUCUAUGCAGCUCCAUGUACCUACUUUUUGAUUCUUGUACCCUGUUGCUUUCAAAAUUUUCUUUCUAUGUUUCCUUCUAUCCAUCUCCCUGUCUCUAGUUCUUAACUCUUCCCUCUCUGUCCUGUACCCUGUCACUUCUUACAUUUUCUUUCUACAUCUCCCUCUUUCUAUCUCCCUGUGCCUAUUUGUUAGUUCUUGCCUAUGUUUCUUGUAUGCUGUUGCUUUUUGAAAUUUUUCUCUCUACCUGGCUCCCUGUUUCUGUUUUCUAGUUCUUGCUGUUUCUUCUCCCGUAUCACUUGAGAAUGUUUCCCUGUCCCUUGUCCUGUCUUUAUCUUGUUGUCCUGCCAGUCCCUUCCCCUUCUCUCCCCCGCUUCCUAUUAUUUAUUCCUCCAUCUCCAUCCCUGUUUUUCUGCUCAGUCUCUCUGCUCUUCUCCCUCUACACCAUUUUCCUGCUUCUUGUCCCCCUCUUGUUCCGAGCAUCCAAUUUCCUGGCUCCGUCUUGCACGUCUGUGUCCCUCUGUCCUUCCUCCUGCUUUUCUCUUCCCUUUUAUCCCCCCAUCCUGCUGCCUUUGGGCACUGAGCCUUGUAGCCAACUCAUUGCCAGGAUUUCUUAUAUGCAUUAAUAAAUAAAUUUUUCCUGC